ensembl:lncRNA
GGAGCGCGGAGCGGCGCGGGGAGCGGCCAGGUCCCUUCAUGCAGAGGGCAUUUAUUGGGUCGCUGGCUGCAGCACUGCAGAUGGUUGCAAAGGAAAUGGAAGAUCUGGCCUUUGCAGGAGUUUGCAGUCGGGCUAGUAACACAGGCAUAUGUACAAGGAACAGCUAAAAAUUAGCCUUCAGGUGUUGUAGAAGCAAAAAGACAAGAAGCUUGUUGGUUCUUUUGUGUUUGGAUCGUUCAUUAGAAGAGCCUUGAGUUAUAUUUGGUGGAGAUCAGGAGAGGAAAGUUCAGGUCAGAUCAAGGCAAGAGUACCAAUCUGUAUCCUGCUCAAUAAAACAAUACAACAGAGCCCUCGGUGACACUUAACCUGAAGUGUCAUCCUUUGCUGCUCACUGUUUUUGACCUUGGACACACUUUUAACCUAAGAGGGAAAAAUAGCAGGCAGUGGUUGUAAGGUGCCAGUGCAGCUACCUCUUCAAGCUGUUGUAUGCUUUUAGCCCUUCAAACGUUCACAACCCCCUCCAUGAGGUCAGGCACCAGGUUUGAUUAUGUUUGUCAUAUAUCAUGUGUGAAUGUUUAAUAAAGGCUUCCAGUAAGGUAGAGAGGUGAAUUGAGGAAGCUUGACCUGCUUUGGACAACUACUCACAUGUAUUCUUACUGUGGCUAGCUCAGUGCAAAAGACCAUCUGACAGCUCUCCUGUGACUACUCGGUGUUCUAAGAGAAUGUAUGGAAGGGAGGACUCUGUGUAGUACUUGUGGCCUUGCGCUGUAACUCUGUGUGUGCAUGCCUUUGUGUAAAGUAAGAGGACAGACUUGGAUACAGCUUUUCACACCAGCCCUGUGCACACAGACAGGGUGCAGCCCUCGGGUUUAGGAACCUUAUUCCAGGAUUUCUCAACUUUGGCACUACUGGUACUUAGAGCUUGAUAAUUGGUUUGCCAUUCUAUAUGUUGAAAUAUAUUUAGCAGCAUCCUUGACUGGUACUCACUAGAUUUCAUAGGACAACUCUCGAAUCACAAUAGUGACAACCAGAUGUCUCCUGAGUACAAAAUUGCCCUGUUGAGAAUCACUACCUCCACCCUAAGAGCCAACCCACUGAUUUAACCCUGGUGGGAAAAAAAAAAUCACACCCUUAAAGUAACUUGGAGGAAAUACAUCUUCUGUCAGUCUAAGCUUCUCCAAUCUCAGUCAUAUGUUUCAGGGAGCCCGACUCCUCUUAAUUAACUGCCUGCUGCAUUGUGAAUUGGCAUCUUUUCUGUUUUCUGCGUAUCCUCCUUCUUUACGCCCAGAUCAACAUGUUCAUUUCUAAAAGUCAACAGAUUUCAAAAACUAUUAGGAAAUAGGGUCUUGAGCAACCCAAGAGUCCUGUAUGCUAUUUUUCUAUAAAAUGUGGGUAGUUUAUCCCAUAAGAUUUUACAGGCAGCUUCACUUUUGUAGUUAAGCUUUUAAUCCUACAAAUAAGAACCACAUCCUUUCUACACUCAAGGUUGUAAGGAAUGUAUGCCAGAAAUUGUAAUGUUUUUAGUUCUUCUCUUUUAAAAUAUUUAGAUAUCUGAAUUGAGUCAUUUGUAUCUUGAAGCCAUUUCCUGUUGGUUCCAGAGUUUACAUUUUAGGAUGGGAUAGAAGAACAUGUUUUAUUUAAACGCAUCAAGCAGACAUCAGUUUUGUUAGGCUUACCAACUUCCCAAAACAAAUUCUCUCAAAUAGUAUUGGCAAGGUGCUCCAGGACUGGAAGUGUUGGUAACGAUCCUGACACUGCUGCAGCUCAACUUCUAAAGGGUUCUGGGAGAAAAAUAAAGGCUAAUGGUUGAAGCAAUGAACAGAUUCUGAUAGUCUGUUCAAUCAGGAGUGGACAUCUAAAAUCCUGGUAGGCAACUGAAAA